rnacentral:rRNA from 1 species
GAUGAACGCUGGCGGCGUGCCUAAUACAUGCAAGUCGAGCGAACAGACGAGGAGCUUGCUCCUCUGACGUUAGCGGCGGACGGGUGAGUAACACGUGGAUAACCUACCUAUAAGACUGGGAUAACUUCGGGAAACCGGAGCUAAUACCGGAUAAUAUAUUGAACCGCAUGGUUCAAUAGUGAAAGACGGUUUUGCUGUCACUUAUAGAUGGAUCCGCGCCGCAUUAGCUAGUUGGUAAGGUAACGGCUUACCAAGGCAACGAUGCGUAGCCGACCUGAGAGGGUGAUCGGCCACACUGGAACUGGGACACGGUCCAGACUCCUACGGGAGGCAGCAGUAGGGAAUCUUCCGCAAUGGGCGAAAGCCUGACGGAGCAACGCCGCGUGAGUGAUGAAGGUCUUCGGAUCGUAAAACUCUGUUAUUAGGGAAGAACAAACGUGUAAGUAACUAUGCACGUCUUGACGGUACCUAAUCAGAAAGCCACGGCUAACUACGUG